rnacentral:rRNA from 1 species
GUGCCAGCCGCCGCGGUAAUACGUAGGUGGCAAGCGUUGUCCGGAUUUAUUGGGCGUAAAGCGAGCGCAGGCGGUUUCUUAAGUCUGAUGUGAAAGCCUUCGGCUCAACCGAAGAAGUGCAUCGGAAACUGGGAAACUUGAGUGCAGAAGAGGGCAGUGGAACUCCAUGUGUAGCGGUGAAAUGCGUAGAUAUAUGGAAGAACACCAGUGGCGAAGGCGGCUGUCUGGUCUGUAACUGACGCUGAGGCUCGAAAGCAUGGGUAGCAAACAGGAUUAGAUACCCUGGUAGUCCAUGCCGUAAACGAUGAGUGCUAGGUGUUGGAGGGUUUCCGCCCUUCAGUGCCGCAGCUAACGCAUUAAGCACUCCGCCUGGGGAGUACGACCGCAAGGUUGAAACUCAAAGGAAUUGACGGGGGCCCGCACAAGCGGUGGAGCAUGUGGUUUAAUUCGAAGCAACGCGAAGAACCUUACCAGGUCUUGACAUCCUUUGACCACUCUAGAGAUAGAGCUUUCCCUUCGGGGACAAAGUGACAGGUGGUGCAUGGUUGUCGUCAGCUCGUGUCGUGAGAUGUUGGGUUAAGUCCCGCAACGAGCGCAACCCUUAUUACUAGUUGCCAGCAUUUAGUUGGGCACUCUAGUGAGACUGCCGGUGACAAACCAGAGGAAGGUGGGGACGACGUCAAAUCAUCAUGCCCCUUAUGACCUGGGCUACACACGUGCUACAAUGGAUGGUACAACGAGUUGCGAGACCGCGAGGUUUAGCUAAUCUCUUAAAACCAUUCUCAGUUCGGAUUGUAGGCUGCAACUCGCCUACAUGAAGCCGGAAUCGCUAGUAAUCGCGGAUCAGCAUGCCGCGGUGAAUACGUUCCCGGGCCUUGUACACACCGCCCGU